CGGGACACGUGGUAUCCUGUCUGAAUAUGGGGGGACCAUCCUCCAAGGCUAAAUACUCCUGACUGACCGAUAGUGAACCAGUACCGUGAGGGAAAGGCGAAAAGAACCCCGGCGAGGGGAGUGAAAAAGAACCUGAAACCGUGUACGUACAAGCAGUGGGAGCACGCUUAGGCGUGUGACUGCGUACCUUUUGUAUAAUGGGUCAGCGACUUAUAUUCUGUAGCAAGGUUAACCGAAUAGGGGAGCCGAAGGGAAACCGAGUCUUAACUGGGCGUUAAGUUGCAGGGUAUAGACCCGAAACCCGGUGAUCUAGCCAUGGGCAGGUUGAAGGUUGGGUAACACUAACUGGAGGACCGAACCGACUAAUGUUGAAAAAUUAGCGGAUGACUUGUGGCUGGGGGUGAAAGGCCAAUCAAACCGGGAGAUAGCUGGUUCUCCCCGAAAGCUAUUUAGGUAGCGCCUCGUGAAUUCAUCUCCGGGGGUAGAGCACUGUUUCGGCAAGGGGGUCAUCCCGACUUACCAACCCGAUGCAAACUGCGAAUACCGGAGAAUGUUAUCACGGGAGACACACGGCGGGUGCUAACGUCCGUCGUGAAGAGGGAAACAACCCAGACCGCCAGCUAAGGUCCCAAAGUCAUGGUUAAGUGGGAAACGAUGUGGGAAGGCCCAGACAGCCAGGAUGUUGGCUUAGAAGCAGCCAUCAUUUAAAGAAAGCGUAAUAGCUCACUGGUCGAGUCGGCCUGCGCGGAAGAUGUAACGGGGCUAAACCAUGCACCGAAGCUGCGGCAGCGACGCUGAUGCGUUGUUGGGUAGGGGAGCGUUCUGUAAGCCUGUGAAGGUGUGCUGUGAGGCAUGCUGGAGGUAUCAGAAGUGCGAAUGCUGACAUAAGUAACGAUAAAGCGGGUGAAAAGCCCGCUCGCCGGAAGACCAAGGGUUCCUGUCCAACGUUAAUCGGGGCAGGGUGAGUCGACCCCUAAGGCGAGGCCGAAAGGCGUAGUCGAUGGGAAACAGGUUAAUAUUCCUGUACUUGGUGUUACUGCGAAGGGGGGACGGAGAAGGCUAUGUUGGCCGGGCGACGGUUGUCCCGGUUUAAGCGUGUAGGCUGGUUUUCCAGGCAAAUCCGGAAAAUCAAGGCUGAGGCGUGAUGACGAGGCACUACGGUGCUGAAGCAACAAAUGCCCUGCUUCCAGGAAAAGCCUCUAAGCAUCAGGUAACAUCAAAUCGUACCCCAAACCGACACAGGUGGUCAGGUAGAGAAUACCAAGGCGCUUGAGAGAACUCGGGUGAAGGAACUAGGCAAAAUGGUGCCGUAACUUCGGGAGAAGGCACGCUGAUAUGUAGGUGAAGCGACUUGCUCGUGGAGCUGAAAUCAGUCGAAGAUACCAGCUGGCUGCAACUGUUUAUUAAAAACACAGCACUGUGCAAACACGAAAGUGGACGUAUACGGUGUGACGCCUGCCCGGUGCCGGAAGGUUAAUUGAUGGGGUCAGCGCAAGCGAAGCUCUUGAUCGAAGCCCCGGUAAACGGCGGCCGUAACUAUAACGGUCCUAAGGUAGCGAAAUUCCUUGUCGGGUAAGUUCCGACCUGCACGAAUGGCGUAAUGAUGGCCAGGCUGUCUCCACCCGAGACUCAGUGAAAUUGAACUCGCUGUGAAGAUGCAGUGUACCCGCGGCAAGACGGAAAGACCCCGUGAACCUUUACUAUAGCUUGACACUGAACAUUGAGCCUUGAUGUGUAGGAUAGGUGGGAGGCUUUGAAGUGUGGACGCCAGUCUGCAUGGAGCCGGCCUUGAAAUACCACCCUUUAAUGUUUGAUGUUCUAACGUUGACCCGUGAUCCGGGUUGCGGACAGUGUCUGGUGGGUAGUUUGACUGGGGCGGUCUCCUCCUAAAGAGUAACGGAGGAGCACGAAGGUUGGCUAAUCCUGGUCGGACAUCAGGAGGUUAGUGCAAUGGCAUAAGCCAGCUUGACUGCGAGCGUGACGGCGCGAGCAGGUGCGAAAGCAGGUCAUAGUGAUCCGGUGGUUCUGAAUGGAAGGGCCAUCGCU
rnacentral:rRNA from 1 species